GUUUGUUUUCUAAAUCCAUUCUGUGCAUUUCACAGCCCUUCGUUAGCACCUAUUCUUUUGCCACUGUUUCUAAUUGAGCUACUUUUAGCUCAUGGAUUGAGUUUCAGGUGGACACGGGAGCGGUGAUGGACUCGAAGGGGCAGGUAGAGAUGUUCGCUUAGCACGCUAUGUAAGUGGACCACAACUUGGCAAAGCGUAAAAGGAAUCUGAAGUAGGGAAGCAAGAACCGAUACAGGGGAGACGACAGAAUGGCUUUGACAAAGACCGGCGUUUGAUUUUGGUUACAGGAAUGUCAAAAAACUAAGGAUGAUUGGCAUAACUAUUGCAUUUGCAGUGAGCCUGGAUAAUAGGCCUAAAAGUGAAUCUUUUUCUGAAUCCACUGGAUAGUUAGCAUUUUUGUGGACUUCUCAAGCUACUUUUCCCCUAUACUUUGAGAAUGCUGCUAAGAAUGCAAAUAUUUUUUGCUCUAUGCAUCCUAGGUAAGUAAGUUAGGCUACUUGCAUUCUGCUAACUUUUAUAGGAUUCAAAUUAUUAAGCGAAUUUACAUAUGUUUGAGGCAUGCUAUGUAUUUGUUUUUUAGUGUUAGUUUUUAUUCUUCAGCUUAGAUGUAUGAUACUAGUUGGUGUAUUUUAUUUUAUUAUAGGGAUGGUUUGCGAAGCCGCAAGACCAGUGCGCUCAUUGUCACGAGCUGUAUCAAGAAAAGGUCCCGCAGACGCCAGCAAGUUUGACAGAAACAUAGAAGAAUUGAUAGAGCGAAUACACGAUUUAUCCAACGAAAAUCACAACGUUGAUGCCAAUGCCAGGGGCGGCAUCAGCGCAGAAGAAAUUUUAGAGGACCCAAAUGUCAGGACAGGUGGCACCGUGUUAGAGGGCAUUGACUUGAGCGCUUAUUAUGGUGUUCUGGGCAAGGUAUUUGCCAUGUAUAGACCACUAAUAGAAGAUGGAUUUAUAGAAAACCUCCCUAAAACGUUUGUGUGCAUUUUGUCUGGGAGAACGGACUGUGGCUUGGAGGCAGAAUUGACAAAGACUGUAUCACUUGAGCUUGGCAAACCGCUACUGUCGCUUCUAUCAUCUGUCAAAUCUCAGACAUGCACAAGAAGCAGUACAAGUUCAGAACCGUCACUUUUUCAAAGAUCCUACCUCAGAGUAGACGAUUCCACAGUAGAACAAUUCAGUGUUUUUCAGGAGAUAAUGACUGCUUUGUCACAUCUUUCCUUAUCUGAUAAAGUUAUGUCUGCUUGGACUGGUCUAAUAGACAUGGCAUUUCCUGCUAUAGUGACACAUUGUUCAGAAUUCAUAUUGACAUUUCUCCAAACCCCAAUGGAUUAUGUAAAAAUAGCACUGCAAUUUGGAAUUGCAAUUCCCGCUCUGGACCAAAAUGAACAAUGUCAGCAAGGGGAUCUAAAGCAGCUCCUGAUGUGGGGUAUACGUCACAAUGUGAGCUGGUCCUUUGGUGACACCAUCUUGGACAUGUUCCUGACUCCAGAAUCAACACUGUGCAGCUACCCAGACCCAGACUGCCAGAGCCUCCCCACAGUCUCCUUCAGCCGUACCCUCAAAGCGGUAGAGGACAACCCCACUGCCCUGCUGAGGUGUGACCACGACAACCUAGCCCGUUUCAACGACACCCUGUGCGCUGACAUCAUCACAGUGGGCCUACAGAGCUCCUCAACACUUUCCACUUUCUGCAACGCUCUGAGCAUCCUGAACCCCACUGAGGUGGAACAGGUGUGGAGUAACACCUGUCAUGUUAUCCAGGCUCUACUGUUGCCCCUCCUGGAGGACAGGUCUGACUGCAGUGGGGACAUGCCGGCCGCGCCUCCCCCAGGCCCACGGGUCUCAAGAUCGCUCAGCCUCAGCCAGCUGCUGUGCAACUACGGCAACUGGACCAAUGCUAGUGACGUGGACGCAGGCCUGGUGACACUGUGUAGUGAAAAUGACAGACAAAAAUUCAUCCUAGCGGUGUGCAGCAAUAUCCAGCUAAUGCAGGCAUUGAUGAACAACAAUCCUAACAAUAGCUGGCUGUGGAAUUUCUGUGUUAACUCCUCUGAUGGAUACAUGGUGAGUCAGUUCUGUAGGUAUCAGACCUGGACGGCGGAGACAGUCGACCCAACCAUGGUGGCCGUCUGCUGGGACCAGGACAAGGAGAGGCUGAAGAUCCUCCUCUGUCAGAACCUGGACUUCUUCACGGUUGUGUUUUCACAUGUUGACAACAACUGGCUGCAGCUUAACUGUACAGAGGCCCCGGCACAGCCAGAUAUAAACUCUCUGGUGGCGGCUUCCUGCCAGUACUCAGAAUGGCGAAACGUGAUGGAAAUCACCAUAGAGAUGAUAUCCAUGUGCAUCCAGAAUGAUGACAAGGGUUUUGUACUGGAGGUGUGCGCCAAUGCCACCUUUCUGAAUGAACUGCUCCGUAAUAGUGCUACUGUAUGGGUUGGAGAAUACUGCACUGUCUCCCUUAACUCUCCACCCACCAACCCGCCUGUGGUGUUCAGCAUCCCAGACUGGUGCAACUAUGAUAAGUGGAGCAAGGUGCUGGUGGACCCGUCAAUGGUGGAGCUCUGCUGGCGACACGACCAGAUGGGUUUUAAUAAGAACGUGUGCUGCAACAUGCCCCUGUUAGAGAAGCUCACUUUGGAGCCCCAGAACGAGUGGCUCAUGUCUGUCUGUGUCGACAAGGAGACCAAGGACAUCCUGCCCCAGGUGUGCAAAUACUCUGACUGGAACAAGCCCAUCAUUGUAGACAUGACUGAUCUGGCUCUCUGUGCUGAGCUGGACUCUCUGAACUUCACUCAGAAGGUGUGCGCCAACACCACGGUGCUCCAGAACCUGCUAGCCAACCCUGACAAUACAUGGCUGUUGGCGUAUUGUGCAAACCACACUGGCCCCGGCGGUGGAGGGGGACAGGGAGGAGGCCUGAUGGGGUUUAAGCCAGUAGAACAAUGCCAGUACCACAGCUGGACAGUGGCACUUCCUGACACCUCUCUCCUGACCCUGUGCUGGGACUACGAUCAGGCCAACUUUGUCUCAUCCAUCUGCACCAACACUGGCCUCCUCUCCCUGCUCACCAAGGAGCCCUACAGCCUGUGGGUGGGCACGCUCUGUACCACCUACACCAACUACACCAAAGGAAACAGCCAGGGAAAAAGCAACAACACCUCCACAGACUCCCAGCCCUGCCUGGUCAGAGACAUUGUGAGGAGGCUGAACUGGACUUGUACUGCAGACUUCAGCUCAGCCUGUCAGCCAGGCUCCAGUCAGACGCAGGCUCUGCAGCUGCUUUUGCGCUGCGGGGUGAAGGCCCUGCAGCAUCGCUUGGAGGGGCUCCUGACCCCACACACGGCCUCUGUGGUGGACCAGGCCACCAGUGUGGCCGUGGUGCUGUUGGUGGCCCUGGAGGAGAGCCAGAUGAUGUCUCUACGUGUGACUGAAAACAUCCGCUUCAAUGUGCUCAAGUCUGUGGUGCUCUAUCUAGAGAAGGAGACCAACUUUGACAACAAGAGGAUCCUGCUGCAGUGCUUUGGGAAAGUACUGACCAGUUUGAUGCAAACAGGAAGACUUGGGAACAGUGAUGGAUUUUUCCUCAUCAAGGAGUAUUUCCGUAUCCCUCUGGCAAGUCUGAGGGCAGUGCUGGGUGCAGUGGACAUCACCACAGUCAGACAGAUACUGCAGUACUUCAGCAGGAACCAGGGAACAUUGCAGGUAAUAUAA
ensembl:lncRNA